rnacentral:rRNA from 1 species
UACGUAGGGACCGAGCGUUGUCCGGAAUCAUUGGGCGUAAAGAGCGUGUCGGCGGCCACUUAAGUCCUGCGUGAAAUCUUGCGGCUCAACCGCAAGCGGUCGUGGGAAACUGGGUGGCUAGAGUGCGGGAGAGGAGAGUGGAAUUCCUGGUGUAGCGGUGGAAUGCGCAGAUAUCAGGAAGAACACCCGUGGCGAAGGCGGCUCUCUGGAACGCAACUGACGCUGAGACGCGAAAGCGUGGGGAGCAAACAGG